UGGGGAAUAUUGGACAAUGGGCGCAAGCCUGAUCCAGCCAUGCCGCGUGAGUGACGAAGGCCUUAGGGUUGUAAAGCUCUUUUGGCGGGGAAGAUAAUGACGGUACCCGCAGAAUAAGCUCCGGCUAACUUCGUGCCAGCAGCCGCGGUAAUACGAAGGGAGCUAGCGUUGUUCGGAAUCACUGGGCGUAAAGCGCACGUAGGCGGAUGUGUCAGUCAGGGGUGAAAUCCCGGAGCUCAACUUCGGAACUGCCUCUGAUACAGCACAUCUUGAGUCCGAUAGAGGUGGGUGGAAUUCCUAGUGUAGAGGUGAAAUUCGUAGAUAUUAGGAAGAACACCGGUGGCGAAGGCGGCCCACUGGAUCGGUACUGACGCUGAGGUGCGAAAGCGUGGGGAGCAAACAGGAUUAGAUACCCAUGUAGUCCCUGAGCGGGCUGGCAAGGCGCAU
rnacentral:rRNA from 1 species